CCCGCCUUCGGGCGGUGAUCAGUGGCGAACGGGUGAGUAACACGUGGGUAACCUGCCCCUCACUCUGGGAUAACUCCGGGAAACCGGGGCUAAUACCGGAUACGAGCCCGGUCCGCAUGGACCGGGUUGGAAAGUUUCUCGGUGAGGGAUGGACCCGCGGCCUAUCAGCUUGUUGGUGGAGUAAUGGCCUACCAAGGCUUUGACGGGUAGCCGGCCUGAGAGGGCGACCGGCCACACUGGGACUGAGACACGGCCCAG
rnacentral:rRNA from 1 species